rnacentral:rRNA from 1 species
UACGGAAGGCAGCAGUGGGGAAUAUUGCACAAUGGGCGCAAGCCUGAUGCAGCCAUGCCGCGUGUAUGAAAAAGGCCUUCGGGUUGUAAAGUACUUUCAGUCGUGAGGAAGGUGUUAAGGUUAAUAACCUUAGCAAUUGACGUUAGCGACAGAAGAAGCACCGGCUAACUCCGUGCCAGCAGCCGCGGUAAUACGGAGGGUGCGAGCGUUAAUCGGAAUUACUGGGCGUAAAGGGCACGCAGGCGGUUAAUUAAGUUGGAUGUGAAAUCCCCGGGCUUAACCUAGGAAUGGCAUUCAAGACUGGUUAGCUAGAGUCUUGUAGAGGGGGUAGAAUUCCAUGUGUAGCGGUGAAAUGCGUAGAGAUGUGGAGGAAUACCGGUGGCGAAGGCGGCCCCUGGACAAAGACUGACGCUCAUGUGCGAAAGCGUGGGGAGCAAAC